CAGUCGCCGCGGGAAUACGAAGGGGGCUAGCGUUGCUCGGAAUCACUGGGCGUAAAGGGCGCGUAGGCGGCCGAUUAAGUCGGGGGUGAAAGCCUGUGGCUCAACCACAGAAUUGCCUUCGAUACUGGUUGGCUUGAGACCGGAAGAGGACAGCGGAACUGCGAGUGUAGAGGUGAAAUUCGUAGAUAUUCGCAAGAACACCAGUGGCGAAGGCGGCUGUCUGGUCCGGUUCUGACGCUGAGGCGCGAAAGCGUGGGGAGCAAACAGGAUUAGAGACCCCAGUAGUCCCUGUCUCUUAUAA
rnacentral:rRNA from 1 species